UAAGAAAUCAGUUGAAGCUUCAGCACCAAUGGUCCUUGCAAUUAACAAAAUAGAUACUACUUCAUCUUUGCACAUGGAAUGGGUCGAUAAAUGCAGGAAUUCUUUUAGUAAACUUGUUUUUACUUCUGCUGUUACUGGUCAAGGAAUCCGAGAUCUAGAGAUGGCAAUUUCCGAGAUUAUGGGUCUGAACAGAAUACCUGCAGGGGGGCGGAAAUGGACAGUUAACCAGAGACAAUGCGAGCAGCUCGUGCGGACCAAGGAGGCACUCGCAAGGUUGAAAUCAUCAAUAGAGGAUGAAAUGCCUCUGGACUUUUGGACAAUUGAUUUAAGGGAUGCGG
rnacentral:misc_RNA from 1 species